rnacentral:rRNA from 1 species
UUCCGGUUGAUCCCGCCGGAGGCCAUUGCUAUCGGAGUCCGACUUAGCCAUGCUAGUCGCACGGGUUUAGACCCGUGGCGAACAGCUCAGUAACACGUGGCCAAACUACCCUGUGGAUCGGGAUACUCUCGGGAAACUGAGGAUAAUCCCGGAUAGCGCUUGCGUCCUGGAACGGAGGAAGCGUGAAACGCUCCGGCGCCACAGGAUGUGGCUGCGGCCGAUUAGGUAGACGGUGGGGUAACGGCCCACCGUGCCGGUAAUCGGUACGGGUCAUGAGAGUGAGAGCCCGGAGAUGGUAUCUGAGACAAGAUACCAGGCCCUACGGGGCGCAGCAGGCGCGAAACCUUUACACUGCACGACAGUGCGAUAA